GGGGUCGCCGGGGCCCGUAGUCCUUCUGCGAGGGCGCGAGGACUCCAGGAGCCGUCCUGGUUCGAGCAUUUCUGAAGAAACUGAGUUCCCGGCGUUCGCAGCCUGGGAGUCACAGGCGCCCACCCACCGGUGUUGGAAGGGCAUGAGAAACAAGGGGAGAACAAGGGCACCCAAAGCCUGACCCCCACAAGGCUAGAGGAGCAACAGGAAAAUUCGUUUCCAGAGACUGAUUCCUCAGCUGCUGAGCAGGAGCCUGGAGCCACACUUGCUGCCUGGUACUACUGACACACAACUGGAACCACCGCUGUGGCCUGGGGUGCCACCAGAAGCCAGAGAUUAGAAUUGCUUUCCCCAUCUCAUAUCUUCCAAACUCCCACCAGUGCCUCCCACUGGCUGAGUCAGAUGACAAGGGAGUCUGGGAAAUGUAGUUGUUUGGCUUCCAGCCCUGACCAUGGAGAGUAUAGAAAGGCAGGUGUAGGGGAGAAAAUAGAUGCCAUUCACACAGCGCCUAUCUUGCAGGGCUGUUUUGAGGAGUAAAAACUCAGCCUAUUUUUAUUCCUCAUAGCAUGUAGUAGCAUUCAGGGAAAGGCAAAUCUUCCAAAACAAUAUCUUAGGUAUAAUAGUUCUACAUAAAGGUUUGAAUUUACCAUUAAAAGCAUCAAAAUGAGCAUUUUAAAAGUAGAAUUUUAAGUCUGAAUGGGCAGUAUAUUCACAUGGUAUAAAAUUCAAAUUACAAAACAAUAUACAGUGAAAAAUAAGGGGGUUUUUUUGCUCAUCUUCUUGUGACCUGGCUCUUUCCAUCUCUGUCCACAACCCUCUGCAGGCAAUAACUGGUACCUUUGUUAUGGAUCCUCUGCAGAUAUAAAGUAGACAUAUAUUAACAAAUGUUUUCUUUGGCCCAGAGGAUGCAUAUUAUGCACAUUCCUCCAUUUCUUGUUUGUUUUUGUUUUUUCCACUUAAUUGUAUCUUGGAGAUCACUCUGUAUCAGUAUAUAUCUGAUUUGUUUUAGCAGUACAUGAUAAUCCAUUGUUUGGAUAUGCCAUAAUUGUAUCAGCCAGUCUCUGGACAGUCUUUUACUAUUUCAAGGAGUGCUGCAGUAAACAUGUUUGCGCCACUUCCUGGUACCCAUUGCAAAUAAAACUGGGAUAAUUUCCUGACGAGAACUUGCUGGGUCAGAGUGUAGGCACUUGUUGUUUUGAUAAAUAUUGCCAGACUACACCCCACUCCCUCCAGCAGUACAUGACACUGCCUAUUUCCCCACAGCUGUGCCAGCAUGGUCUGUUAGCAAGUGUUUUCUUUUUGCAAAUUUAAAAGUGGUAUCUCGCUAAAUGCAAUAUGGUAGCAGAGGACAUUUGUGGAAAAACAGGUGAAAUCUGGGCUGGGUGUGGUGGCUCAUGCCUAUAAUCCCAGCACUUUGGGAGGCCGAGGCAGGCGGAUCACAAGGUCAGGAGUUCGAGACCAGCCUGGCCAAUAUAGUGAAACCCCGUCUCUACUAAAAAUACCAAAAAAAGUUAGCUGGGCAUGGUGGUGCAAGCCUGUAAUCUCAGCUACUCGGGAAGCUGAGUCAGGAGAAUCGCUUGAACCUGGGAGGCGGAGGUUGCAGUGAGCCAAGAUCAUGCCACUGCACUCCAGCCUGGGUGAUGGAGUGAGACUCUGUCUCAAGAAAGGAAAAAAAAAACAAAAAACAGGUGAAAUCUG
ensembl:lncRNA TMEM11-DT TMEM11 divergent transcript